AUUGAACGCUGGCGGCAGGCCUAACACAUGCAAGUCGAGCGGAUGAAGGGAGCUCGCUCCUGGAUUCAGCGGCGGACGGGUGAGUAAUGCCUAGGAAUCUGCCUGGUAGUGGGGGAUAACGUCCGGAAACGGGCGCUAAUACCGCAUACGUCCUGAGGGAGAAAGUGGGGGAUCUUCGGACCUCACGCUAUCAGAUGAGCCUAGGCCGGAUUAGCUAGUUGGUGGGGUAAAGGCCUACCAAGGCGACGACCCGUAACUGGUCUGAGAGGAUGAUCAGUCACACUGGAACUGAGACACGGUCCAGACUCCUACGGGAGGCAGCAGUGGGGAAUAUUGGACAAUGGGCGAAAGCCUGAUCCAGCCAUGCCGCGUGUGUGAAGAAGGUCUUCGGAUUGUAAAGCACUUUAAGUUGGGAGGAAGGGCAGUAAGUUAAUACCUUGCUGUUUUGACGUUACCAACAGAAUAAGCACCGGCUAACUUCGUG
rnacentral:rRNA from 1 species